UCAAUUUUUCCAGAUCUUGGAAGUACAUUCAUCAAUGUCUACUGCAGUUUUUAUCUGACAGAGAAGAAAAGCAAGCAUUAAAACAGUAAAUCAAGUUGGAUUUGAAAAAAACAGGAAGUUACUUUACAGUCCAAAUGACAACUACAUAAUUUAAUGAUAAGAGGUUUGUAAAACCACAUUUUAUUUUUGCUGGACAGUUUUAAAGGGAUGAAAAGCUGUCAGAAAAUUAUGCCAUCAGAAUUCCUGUAAACAAGG
rnacentral:lncRNA from 1 species